UACGAAGGGGGCGAGCGUUGUUCGGAUUUACUGGGCGUAAAGGGCGCGCAGGCGGUCUUGAAAGUCAGGCGUGAAAGCCCCGGGCUUAACCUGGGAAUUGCGCUUGAUACUCUGAGACUGGAGUACGGGAGAGGAGAGUGGAAUUCCCAGUGUAGAGGUGAAAUUCGUAGAUAUUGGGAAGAACACCAGUGGCGAAGGCGGCUCUCUGGACCGUAACUGACGCUGAGGAGCGAAAGCGUGGGGAGCGAACAGG
rnacentral:rRNA from 1 species